rnacentral:ribozyme from 1 species
GUAACAAGAUUAUUCCGUUCUUUCGGAAAUAUCCGUUACGUUCUAUCAAACAAGAAAGUUUUAUGAAGUUUGCCGAAAUUGUCGAAAUGAUGAAAUUGAGCAAGCACCGCGAACUCGCGGGAAUUAAAAAAAUCAUAAAAUUGGCUUAUCAGAUGAACAUCGGCGGAAAAUACCGAAAGGUAAAGCAGGAAGAUCUCUUACACUAUUUGGAAUCCUCAGAGACUACAUGCUAGACGCUUUUGCCGGUUAGGCAAAAGUAAAGAUAUAGUCCGAACUGUAUGGCGACAUACAG